rnacentral:rRNA from 1 species
UACGUAGGGCGCAAGCGUUGUCCGGAAUUAUUGGGCGUAAAGAGCUCGUAGGCGGCCUGUUGCGUCCGCUGUGAAAUCCCGGGGCUCAACCCCGAGCCUGCAGUGGAUACGGGCUGGCUAGAGGCAGGCAGGGGAGAACGGAAUUCCUGGUGUAGCGGUGAAAUGCGCAGAUAUCAGGAGGAACACCGGUGGCGAAGGCGGUUCUCUGGGCCUGUACUGACGCUGAGGAGCGAAAGCGUGGGGAGCAAACAGG